rnacentral:lncRNA from 1 species
AUGGCCAGUACAAACAGGUUGGGUGACAUAUGGUCACCUUGUCUAAUACCCCGUUUGGCUUUGAAAGGUUUUGUGAGUCCACCAUUAAGCAUAAGUGAAUAAGAGACAGUUGUGACACACUCCAUUACCCAUUGCACAAAGAUAGCAGGGAAUCCCAGGUCAACUAGUACUUGCUUAAGAUACCUCCAGUACAGUGUGGCAUAUGCUUUCGUCAGAUUCACC